rnacentral:rRNA from 1 species
AUUGAACGCUGGCGGCAUGCCUUACACAUGCAAGUCGAACGGCAGCACGGGAGCUUGCUCCUGGUGGCGAGUGGCGAACGGGUGAGUAAUACAUCGGAACGUACCCAGGAGUGGGGGAUAACGUAGCGAAAGUUACGCUAAUACCGCAUAUUCUGUGAGCAGGAAAGCGGGGGAUCGCAAGACCUCGCGCUCUUGGAGCGGCCGAUGUCGGAUUAGCUAGUUGGUGAGGUAAAAGCUCACCAAGGCGACGAUCCGUAGCAGGUCUGAGAGGAUGAUCUGACAAACUGGGACUGAGACACGGCCCAGACUCCUACGGGAGGCAGCAGUGGGGAAUUUUGGACAAUGGGGGCAACCCUGAUCCAGCCACGCCGCGUGAGUGAAGAAGGCCUUCGGGUUGUAAAGCUCUUUCGGCGGGGAAGAAAUGGCAACGGCUAAUAUCCGUUGUUGAUGACGGUACCCGCAUAAGAAGCACCGGCUAACUACGUGCCAGCCGCCGCCGUAA